rnacentral:rRNA from 1 species
AGAGUUUGAUCCUGGCUCAGAAUCAACGCUGGCGGCGUGCCUAACACAUGCAAGUCGAACGAGAAAGUGGAGCAAUCCAUGAGUACAGUGGCGCACGGGUGAGUAACACGUGACUAACCUACCCUGGAGUGGGGGAUAACUGAGGGAAACCUUAGCUAAUACCGCAUAAUACCUACGGGUCAAAGGAGCAAUUCGCUUCAGGAGGGGGUCGCGGCCGAUUAGUUAGUUGGCGGGGUAAUGGCCCACCAAGACAGUGAUCGGUAUCCGGCCUGAGAGGGCGCACGGACACACUGGAACUGAAACACGGUCCAGACUCCUACGGGAGGCAGCAGUGGGGAAUUUUGCGCAAUGGGGGAAACCCUGACGCAGCAACGCCGCGUGGAGGAUGAAGUCCUUCGGGACGUAAACUCCUUUCGAUCGGGACGAUAAUGACGGUACCGGAGGAAGAAGCCCCGGCUAACUUCGUGCCAGCAGCCGCGGUAAUACGAGGGGGGCGAGCGUUGUUCGGAAUUAUUGGGCGUAAAGGGUGCGUAGGCGGUUUUGUAAGUCUUAUGUGAAAUCUAUGGGCUCAACUCAUAGACUGCAUGAGAAACUGCAGGGCUUGAGUAUGGGAGAGGUGAGUGGAAUUCCUGGUGUAGCGGUGAAAUGCGUAGAUAUCAGGAGGAACACCUGUGGCGAAAGCGGCUCACUGGACCAUAACUGACGCUGAUGCACGAAAGCUAGGGGAGCAAACAGGAUUAGAUACCCCCGUAGUCC